UAGGGAAUCUUCGGCAAUGGACGAAAGUCUGACCGAGCAACGCCGCGUGAGUGAAGAAGGUUUUCGGAUCGUAAAACUCUGUUGUUAGAGAAGAACAAGGACGUUAGUAACUGAACGUCCCCUGACGGUAUCUAACCAGAAAGCCACGGCUAACUACGUGCCAGCAGCCGCGGUAAUACGUAGGUGGCAAGCGUUGUCCGGAUUUAUUGGGCGUAAAGCGAGCGCAGGCGGUUUCUUAAGUCUGAUGUGAAAGCCCCCGGCUCAACCGGGGAGGGUCAUUGGAAACUGGGAGACUUGAGUACAGAAGAGGGGAGUGGAAUUCCAUGUGUAGCGGUGAAAUGCGUAGAUAUAUGGAGGAACACCAGUGGCGAAGGCGGCUCUCUGGUCUGUAACUGACGCUGAGGCUCGAAAGCGUGGGGAGCAAACAGG
rnacentral:rRNA from 1 species